rnacentral:rRNA from 1 species
CAGACUCCUACGGGAGGCAGCAGUGGGGAAUCUUCCGCAAUGGACGAAAGUCUGACGGAGCAACGCCGCGUGAGUGAUGACGGCCUUCGGGUUGUAAAGCUCUGUUAAUCGGGACGAAAGGCCUUCUUGCGAAUAGUGAGAAGGAUUGACGGUACCGGAAUAGAAAGCCACGGCUAACUACGUGCCAGCAGCCGCGGUAAUACGUAGGUGGCAAGCGUUGUCCGGAAUUAUUGGGCGUAAAGCGCGCGCAGGCGGAUAGGUCAGUCUGUCUUAAAAGUUCGGGGCUUAACCCCGUGAUGGGAUGGAAACUGCCAAUCUAGAGUAUCGGAGAGGAAAGUGGAAUUCCUAGUGUAGCGGUGAAAUGCGUAGAUAUUAGGAAGAACACCAGUGGCGAAGGCGACUUUCUGGACGAAAACUGACGCUGAGGCGCGAAAGCCAGGGGAGCGAACGGGAUUAGAUACCCCGGUAGUCCUGGCCGUAAACGAUGGGUACUAGGUGUAGGAGGUAUCGACCCCUUCUGUGCCGGAGUUAACGCAAUAAGUACCCCGCCUGGGGAGUACGACCGCAAGGUUGAAACUCAGAGGAAUUGACGGGGGCCCGCACAAG